UAGAUGUUGGGGAAAAUAAGAGUUGGCCAUGUUGGAUUUCAGCAGGUCAGGUUCUUUGUUCCUACAGAAGAUAAACUGCUGCCAGGCAGGUUUGGCAACAGUUUAUUCCCCUCUCCUCAUGGAAAACACAUACACCCUCAGUCAGCGUGUGACUUUACAUGGGAUAGACAGGAGGGAUAGAUAGCUGUCAGCCAAACUAAGGAAAGUGUAGGGGCAGCUUAUGACGCUAUCUUUAUCUAGGUUUCUGUCGAUUCAGGAUCUUGCUGAGUGAGAAAUUAGAUGCAUCGUUUCUGUUUUCUCUCAUUCAAUGUCAGGUGUAGCGUCCCUGUAAGUAAUGCUAGUGUUGCAUGGAAACAAUCGGAGUGACAGAAUUAUUCACGGUCAUUGGAAUUUUGGAUAGUUUGCAGUAUAAAUAAGGGCAUUUAUGACAUUUUCCCCUUCAAUAAAUAUUUUAUGACAUUUCCUUGACAUCAAAUUUAAAAAACAGCUAGUUUGAUGUUACACUUCUUCUAAAUUUGCUGGAGAUGAACCAUUUAAACAUCAUCGUAUGAUACUGUAAUGUGACUGUUAAUCCUAGAGAUUAUGAGGACUAAAGGGGUUGUCCAAGUUAUUUUUAUUGAUGACCUAUCCUCAGGAUAGGUCAUCAAUAUCAGAUGGGCAGGGAUCUGACCCCCAGCACCCCCGUCAAUAAGCUGGUUGAAGAGAAGGCGCACUCUGUGCCAGCGCUGCCUCCUCUUCAUUAUUUACCUGCUCAAAGUCGCAACCCAACUCAGCAGCCGUGAGCACGUGUAGUGUAAUUACACCUAAGCUGUUGCGACGGUGAGCAGGCAAACAAUGAAGAGGAGGCAGCGCUGAUACGGUGUGCACCUUCUCUUUAACCAGCUGAUCAGCGAGGGUCCCAGGUGUUGGACCCCAUACAAUCUGAUAUUGAUGACAUAAAAAUAACUUGAACGACCCAUUUAAAGCAUUUAUUGUAUCUAGUGCUAAGAAAACCAGUAGAAACAUAGAAACAUGGAGACAUAGAA